rnacentral:lncRNA from 10 species
GAUUUUGGCACCAUUGGUAGUCACUUUGACAUGUCAAUAAUGAUAAUUGCAAAGAAGACUGUUGUUCCAAGUAAUGGAUAACACAGCAUCUGAACCUACCUGGAUACUUUUUCAAUAUCUAAAGAAUUAUGUUGUAUAAAAAGAUGCUCGAAGCCCAGAAAAAAUAAAAGAUGAGCACUUCUGGAAAAAUUACUCCAUUUUUGUCCUCUGUUAACAUUUUAAGAAGAUUCCAGUUCUUUUUGGACCUUUUUAGUUGUAAUGGAGCCCAGCCCAUGCCUUUGAGGCAGGGAGCAGGGAAAUGGUGAAAGUCAAGUGACUCUUAGCUUGCGCUGUUGUCAUCCUCUCUGGACUAUUGCUACAUUUCUAGACUACUCUCAUUCUCAGCCCACGUAGGAAAUCAGAAGAUAAUUUAAAAUUAAAUAAUGAUGGCUCAGAGCUUAAAGCACUUAAAAAAGAGAAGAAAGAAAAGCAUCACAUCUUGACAGUGCUGGGAGUGAUGGUGGAAAGCUUGCCAAGGAGGCCCGGAAGAGUGGUUGGAAAGACCAUUAUUCAUAACAAAAACCAACUCAAAAUGGAUUAACGACUUAAACAUAAGGCUGGAAAUGGUAAAACUCCUUGAAGAAAACAUAGGAAAACGUGUCUUGACAUUGGUCUGGGCAACAAAUUUUUUUGGAUAUGACGACAAAAGCACAGUUUCCAGUGAGGGCCUCAUGCUGUUUCCACUCAUGGCUGAAAGCCGAAGGAAAGCAGGUAUGUGCAAAACGAUCACAUGGAAAUGGAGGAAGCAAGAGAGAGAGAAACCCAGGAAUUCAGACUCUUUUUAACAACCCACUCUG